rnacentral:lncRNA from 10 species
CUCAGUCCCAGGAUUAAGUUACUAAUCACUUGAUGUUGUCUUAAUUGAAAGGCAGAUUACCCAGUUUAGGCCCUUGAAGAUAAUGCUUGGACAAUUACCUCCUAAAUUAUUUUCUUGCCAGUAAUUUAUCUUUUCCCCAGCACCACGGCCAAAUCACAGCUCUGAGUGGGGAACCACAUUUGAACAGACUAGUCCCUUCUGCCUUCUGGGCAGGUCACAUCUGAAAGAUUAUCCUCUUUGAAUCAGUUUGAAUGUUCUAGUGACCAGGCCACACAGUUUCUCUUGACAUUUAAAAAUAAAGCUUCCAGUCUUGUCACUAAUGGAUUUGGGGUCCAGUACCCUUAAAAUCACCUCAGAGCUGCCUGAAUCCAUAGACUACUUGCAGAAUCACUGGUUUUACUUGGAUCAAGCCAUCUGAGAAGAUUUUUAUAUACCUCAACAUAUUAAAGGUAUGAAAAGAUCAUGCAGAAAAAAACCUGUUCAGCUUCAUCUCACAUAGUAUUUCUGCCACUUAUUUCACCACAGAUACUUUGUUAAUAUCUUGGAACUCUUGUUUUUAGAAAAAAGCAUUGGAAAUGGAGGAGACUGUCAAGGACAAUAAUAAAUGAUGGUACUGUAAACA